rnacentral:rRNA from 1 species
GUGCCAGCAGCCGCGGUAAUACAGAGGGGGCAAGCGUUAUUCGGAAUUAUUGGGCGUAAAGGGCGCGUAGGCGGUCGUGCAAGUGGAAGGUGAAAUCCCUCGGCUCAACCGAGGAACUGCCUUUCAAACUGCUUGACUUGAGUCCGGGAGAGGUGAGUGGAAUUCCCAGUGUAGCGGUGAAAUGCGUAGAUAUUGGGAGGAACACCAGUGGCGAAGGCGGCUCACUGGACCGGAACUGACGCUGAGGCGCGAAAGCGUGGGGAGCAAACAGGAUUAGAUACCCCGGUAGUCC